rnacentral:rRNA from 1 species
GGGGGGGGGGGGGGGGGGGCCUGGCGCGGGGGGGGCGAGCGGCAGCACAGUGAGAGCUUGCUCGUACGGGUGGCGAGGGGCGGACGGGUGAGGAAUACAUCGGAAUCUACUGCUUCGUGGGGGAUAACGUCGGGAAACUGACGCUAAUACCGCAUACGACCGACGGGUGAAAGCAGGGGAUCUUGGGACCUUGCGCGAUUGAAUGAGCCGAUGUCGGAUUAGCUAGUUGGCGGGGUAAAGGCCCACCAAGGCGACGAUCCGUAGCUGGUCUGAGAGGAUGAUCAGCCACACUGGAACUGAGACACGGUCCAGACUCCUACGGGAGGCAGCAGUGGGGAAUAUUGGACAAUGGGCGCAAGCCUGAUCCAGCCAUACCGCGUGGGUGAAGGAGGCCUUCGGGUUGUAAAGCCCUUUUGUUGGGAAAGAAAAGCAGCAGGUUAAUACCCCGCUGUUCUGACGGUACCCAAAGAAUAAGCACCGGCUAACUUCGUG